AUUGAACGCUGGCGGCAUGCCUUACACAUGCAAGUCGAACGGUAACGCGGGGCAACCUGGCGACGAGUGGCGAACGGGUGAGUAAUGUAUCGGAACGUGCCCAGUUGUGGGGGAUAACUGCUCGAAAGAGCAGCUAAUACCGCAUACGACCUGAGGGUGAAAGCGGGGGAUCGCAAGACCUCGCGCAAUUGGAGCGGCCGAUAUCAGAUUAGGUAGUUGGUGGGGUAAAGGCCCACCAAGCCAACGAUCUGUAGCUGGUCUGAGAGGACGACCAGCCACACUGGGGCUGAGACACGGCCCAGACUCCUACGGGAGGCAGCAGUGGGGAAUUUUGGACAGUGGACGCAAGUCUGAUCCAGCCAUGCCGCGUGCGGGAAGAAGGCCUUCGGGUUGUAAACCGCUUUUGUCAGGGAAGAAACGCUCUGGGUUAAUACCUCGGGGUAAUGACGGUACCUGAAGAAUAAGCACCGGCUAACUACGUGCUAGCAGCCGCCGCCGUAA
rnacentral:rRNA from 1 species